GGCAGUUCCUGACGAGGUUCGAUUAACUAUGAAGAUACGCUGUGGAAACUUUGCCUGCACUUCGACUAACUCGACAUGAAGUGUAUCUCAGCAAUUGAUAAAGACUUUCGCAAACUUUGCGUUGGUGAGCAUCAAAAGGAGAAAUUCCGAAAUGAUUUAGUAAGGAUACCCUCGAAGGAUUUGUACUAUUUGCUGCAGGUGUUUUCUAACAUAGCUCGCUAGGGAGAUUUAUGGCAUCGAGUUAAUACUGACGAUCGUGUUGAAUCUGUUUGACUUAAUUGUAUGACAUUUAGUUCAAUUUAAACUUGUUGAUAAUUAAGAUCGGUUGUCUAAACGAAUAUGCCGAAGGCUACAGCUGCAACGCGGUGAAGGAUCUGCUGUAUAAUAUCGUGUUCAAGCAUAACUCAAAUUCAUUCAUGAAAAAAUGUUACUUAGGUCCUUUUGAAAAGUUAAGCGAGCAUUCUUCGUUGGUGUCUAGUCUGCUGCAUCCAUUGGGAUAUUAAGAAGCAGGAUAUAUUUAGCACGAGUAGGAUAUAUUUGGCGCUGGACCACACAGUGGAAUGAUUUUGAGCUGCUCGUCAACUGGUUACUAAACAACAGGUUCACCGCCAUUCAAAAUUCAACUGCACGAGUGAUUCUGAUCCAUUUGAAUAACAAUUUCGACCUGUAAGUAUACUUUAUAUUAGCUUCUUAUUUCACUCCUCAAAUUGUCGACUAUUUAAGAAACAACGAGUUAUUCCACUCACGACAUACACAACAGUACAUAUAGCAUGUCUCAAUACAAAAGUCUACAAACCAGACGUGCCGGAAGCCAACAGGGUCUUAUAGAGACCAAUGCCGCGCAGGAGCAAUGGUGUUGGUAAAUGAUCAGGCUACUGCUGCGCCACUGCAUGUACCAGAGUGUCGAGAUCAUCAACGGCAUGAUGAAAAACCUUGCACUGGUUCUGCGCCACAUACUCGAACUGUAACGCGCCUAACAGAUCUACCAAGACGUGACGGAAAAUCAUCCACUAGAUAUCGAUUUGGCAAUUCUUAUCAACACAUGGGACCAUUCAGUGCCGAAAACCUGCUACAAAAGGUUAGAACAACUUCGAUUACUGUUUAAUGUCCACCGGUAAAUGGUGGUUGUUCGAAGUCUACAGCUCAUUACGCUACUGUUCCUCCGAUAGUUCGAAUGAAGCACAAACGCAAACUAAAACCAUUACUUCUGCCAGACGUUCCAAUCGAUGUCCACGAUGAAGAGGAUUUAGACCUCGGUGGACCCGCGGUCGAUAUCUAUUUUCUCACUACUGCAGCGCUACGCCAAGACUAGAGCCGACUUGAACUUGAACGUGUUGAAGUUUUUCGCCCUGCCGCGGAAGUGCAAAUUGCUGGUCACCGAACAGUAGAUAAUGCGGGAAAAAACUUUCAUCGGGACGAAUACAUUCGGUGACGAGAAGUUACUACAGGCAAAAUACCCGGGCAGCGCUGCAGUUCCCCAGCAAUCCGAUGAGUUCAGCUGCAAUCUGAAGGAUUCGAUGAGGCAGUUGUGAUCCCAGUGUGGCCCAUCCACGUACGAAGUGAUCGUAACCCGAAUUAAAUCAAACUAAAAUCUACGAGACUCUAAGCCUUCAUCCACUGCUCAGCAUUCUUCUGCCCAAUACGCCCGUGAUACUGAAUCCUACGUUUGACCCGACCCAACUGGUCGCCCCAAUUUAAUUUCCAUUAUGUUCGUACUCCUGCGAAAAGGCAAAAGGCGCUUCUCAACGGACGAUCGUAGCAUGAUGGUGAAGCUGGCUGCCACCCAACUAAGCAUCACAAGCAGGCACGAUCAUCUGUUAAACGUCCUGCAAAGUCCUAUCGGGAUCGCAAACAGGGUGACCACACUGGUACAACUGCCCAUCGAGGGAAAAUGGAUCGGCUGCUGCUGACGAUAAGGAAACGAAACGAAUUUCUCGAACAGGAGGGAGGAGAUGCGGGAGGUGGUUGCGAACAGCGAUAGGGCAGACAUCUU